rnacentral:rRNA from 1 species
AAUUUUCCGCAAUGGGCGCCAGCCUGACGGAGCAACGCCGCGUGAGGGAUGAAGGUCCUCGGAUCGUAAACCUUUGUCAUCGACGAAGAUAAUGACGGUACUCGAGGGUGAAGCCCCGGUUAACUACGUGCCAGCAGCCGCGGUAACACGUAGGGGGCGAGCGUUGUCCGGAAUUACUGGGCGUAAAGGGCGCGUAGGCGGCCUAUUAAGUCUGAUGUGAAACCCCUGGGCUUAACCUUGGGCUUGCAUUUCAAACUGAAAGGCUUGAGGGCAGGGGAGGAAAGCGGAAUUCCCAGUGUAGCGGUGAAAUGCGUAGAUAUUGGGAGGAACCCCAGUGGCGAAGGCGGUUUUCUGGACUGCACCUGACGCUGAGGCGCGAAAGCUAGGGUAGCAAACG